CCGCCGGCGGGACGCGGUGAGGUCGCGGCCCGGGCUGGGCCGUCGGGUACGGCGGUCGCCCGGGCCGCGAAGGAUCAGCGCCCGCGCCGGCGGG
rnacentral:tRNA from 1 species